rnacentral:rRNA from 1 species
GGCGGGACACGUGGUAUCCUGUCUGAAUAUGGGGGGACCAUCCUCCAAGGCUAAAUACUCCUGACUGACCGAUAGUGAACCAGUACCGUGAGGGAAAGCGAAAAGAACCCCGGCGAGGGGAGUGAAAAAGAACCUGAAACCGUGUACGUACAAGCAGUGGGAGCACCUUCGGGUGUGACUGCGUACCUUUUGUAUAAUGGGUCAGCGACUUAUAUUCUGUAGCAAGGUUAACCGUAUAGGGGAGCCGCAGGGAAACCGAGUCUUAACUGGGCGUUAAGUUGCAGGGUAUAGACCCGAAACC